GGGAAACCCUCGAGAUCGUCGUCGUCCAGUUCGGGACUCCUGGUGAGAGCCUCCCUCUCCAUGCCCCAAGUUCCUAAUCAUCUCCUAAUGGUGGCAACAGGUUAGCCGGUAGUCUUGAUUAAAAGAUUCUGGUGUCGAAUUCCUGAAUGUCCAGGAUCGGCUUGUGCUUGAGAAACAGUUUACUGAAACUGCUAAAGUCUGAGAAACUGUUUACUGAAAUUGUUAGUAAUAGUUAACUGAAUCUGCUGCGGUCUGAAAUUGUUUUUGGGGGGGUGUCUGAAACUGUUAGGAGUUGGAAAUUGUCUGCGACUGCUGUAGUCUUGUACGUACUAUACAUGUAAAGAGGCUCUAUAUAUGGCUAGCUUGUUGUUGUGGGGAACAAAUCAUUUCACAAGUAACAUGCUUCCACUCAACCUUGAUGUGGAAAGUGUUUUUCAUACUUUCAGAUAUGGAAAGUGUUGGUUACAGUGAAACUUGAUUCAGACAAUUCAGUUCCUCUAUUUGGUCCUAUUCGCCGCCAGUAAUGCUUUUUUUUUUGUAAAGCUGGUACAAUUGCGGAACUUAAAAUGCCAAAUCAGUUGAUUCAUCUCUUAUUUCAGCCUUAACAAAAGAGAUUUAGCCCAUUUUCCCUGUGUUGAAUAACACGUGAACAAAUUUUGGUUCCUACACUACUUUUGAGAUUUAGACUGUUGGUCUGUUUCCUAGUGAUCUUCUUUGCCGAGAAAUGUACUGGUGGUCUUGAAUCUCUUUUGUGCAGAUGUUAGAUUAGAUAUUGCUUACUGCAUGAACAUGAUAUUUAGAGUCUUAAAAUGCAAAAGAAAUAUUAAGAGUCUUGCUUUAGUGAGUACUAGCCUGAUCAUGCUUGGAAAAUGGAUAUUAUGAUAGGUUUUGUUAGGACUUGGGACUUUUCUGAAACUGAUGUGGUCUUGUAGGAAGGUAAAAGUAGGUGCAUGGGAAUAGUAGGUGCCACUGCAAUGUGGAUUAUCAGUCUGUGUACACAUGGUAAAAGAUGGUCUGAACUCUGAAGCUAGUCCAAACUACUAGUUCCACAUUUCUUUUCUUGAUUCAUUCAGAUAAUUCAGUUCGUCCUUUUUCAUAACAUUUUGCCGCUAGUAGAAACUAUGAAACGCUAAAAGCCAAAUCAAGUUCAGUCAUCUCGUUUCAUCUUCGCAGAGAAGAUACUAAGUUUCUAACCUGUUAAGACAAUGCAGAUAGAUAGUAUCCUACAAUAGAUGGUGCAUAAAAGCUUAGUUCCUUGCAAAUUAUAUUGUUCAGGUUUUGACUUCUUGAUCUUGUCAUUAUAUUGUUGCUGAUUAAUGGUCUGAUUCCUAACUGACUUAUUAUUUCUGCUUAUUCAGUCUAUGGUAGGCUGCGAUACCCGGAUGUCCACGCGGAGUAGAGAAAGGUCGGAGCAGGAGUCCUGAGAGUUCACCUCCUCAGAAUUUUGGCCGCCUCGGCACAAUGCCAGCAGAGCUAGAUGCCUACUUUUACAUAUAGAUAGAUAUAGGUCGAGAAAACUUAUCAGCUCUUGUGUUUCUUCUGCUAGUUAAAACUUGCUCCGUUUUGUCGAAGAGGCAGGGAGAACCUGUCUGUUCUGGCCUCGCGGUUCUAUGAUUCAGAACUUCUGAAAUCUUCUGGCAUUCAUCUCUGUGGUGCUUCCUGGAUGAAGCAUUUACCUGUAGGGAUUCUUGCGAUGGGUUGAUGAUCUUUCAUUUCUUUUUUGGAUGAUGA
rnacentral:lncRNA from 1 species